CUUCUAACCAUGGCAUCCUCCAACGCAAUGGAAGCUCCAUGGCAUGUUUCACAUGCAUAGCAAGAUUCGGAUCAACUAUAUUUCCAUGGAGCUCUUUAAGGUUUAUAUUUGUGAAGCACCAUCCCUCCUCCAUUAGACACUCUCCUUCAAAAGAGUAGUAGGAAGCUUCGUACGUACAAACUUAACAUUCCCUUCACAUCUUCACGACGACAUUCUUUGAAGCUCCCGUUAUCCGUAAAAUUCUUGAAAACAUCUGCAUAAAAUUAAGCGUACCCCAAAGUGUGCAGUUAUUUCAAUUAGUGUACUUCAAACUUCAAAGCAAUAAUAAAUUAGCUACAUAAUUAAUUAAGAGCCCAAUAGAAACAUGCAAAAUACAAUAAAUAAAAGAUUAUUACCUUGGGGAAUAUGAUAUCCAUGUUGUCGAAGGAGUCGAAAUUCUAGAGCAGUAGCAUGUAAAUCCUUAUUUUCCUACUUGUAAUUAGUUUAAUCACUAUAUAUUUUCUUCAUGGUAUGGCCUAUUUCCUCAUCAAAGUGAUAAGCCAACCCAAGUCUUUGCAAGUGAUCAAUCAGCUCAAGUUGAUCUAAUGGCUUAACUACAUUGUUAAACAUCUUCAUCACAUCUUUCUUCAACUUAUCAGCUCGUCCUUCCAAACUUUCACCCUGUAAAUUUACACAGAAUUAUGUUGACAUGCAAUAUAUAUAUGCCAACUUAACUCAAAUUACAUAUAAAUAAGAUCGAUCGAGAAAAAUGUAAAAUUACCGUGUCAUUACUUCUUAAAGACUGCAGAAAAUUGUUAUCCCAAGUGCAAGGUUUGUAUCUGGCUGAUCGCCUAAUUACAGUAGGUGGAUCAGAAAUCUUGGUACAACUAACAGAUUGGAGUACAGGCUUAAGGUCAGUAGUACCAUGUUUAGUUUUGCCAGAGACAACUUUUCCAAAAUUGCAAUUAAGAAUUGAAAUAUGUAUACUAGCAGCCAUAUGUAUAUAUAUCGAUCACAGCAAAUAAUUUAUUCUCCCACUGAGCACCACAAAAUAAUUUAUCCAGUCCAUGGGAUGGAUUGGGCCCUUGAGCCUUGGGAUGUGGUUAAGAUUUGACUUGAGAGCGUGAGGAAAGAUCAGAUCUAUCAUCUAUGGACUUCACUUGAUGUCCACAAGAAUUUAUUCUCCCACCGAGCACCACAAACUAUUCAUCACAUCUUUCUUCAACUUAUCAGCUCGUCCUUCGAAACUUUCACCCUGUAAAUUUACAUAGAAUUAUUCCAUCAGUUCCUAAAAGAUUAUUGUUUUAGAAAAAAAAAUUGAUUUUAAAAAGUUUGUCGUUUAUAACUUUUGAAGAGAAUAAAUUAUUUAUUUUUCUAUAUUACCUCUACCUUCUCUCGUUGUCCUAAGAAAUUAUCUCUCUUGUAUUAAUAAUUUUCAACUUUCUAUAAAAGGGUAGCGAUGAAAUUUCAAACAAAUUUUACUUGGUAAAUGAUACUAUCUCAAUUUCUAAAAGAUUGUCGUUUAAGGUUUUGGCACAUGGAUUAAGAAAGUAUCAUUUACCAAGUAAAAUUUGUUUGAAAUUUCAUCACUAUUGAAAACUAUUAAUACAAGGAAGAGAAUUUCUUGGGACAAUGAGAGAAGGUAAGGGUAAAAUAGAAAAGUAAAUAAUUUAUUCUCUUCGAAAAUUGUAAACGACAAACUUUUUGGAAUAAAUUUUUUCUUCUAAAACGACAAUCUUUUAGGAACGGAGGUACUUUUUUAAUUCAUAUGCCAAAACCUUAAACGACAGUCUUUUAAGAACGGAGACAGUAUUAUUUAUCGCAAGUUUUCAUAAAUAGCAACGGUAUGCAAAAUUUAAAAAUUUGGAUACAAUUUUUCUUCUUCUUGAGAUGUACCCACUUUUUAAUUUCUUAAUGGUAAAUACUCCCUCCGUUUCUAGAAGAUUGUCGUUUUAGAAAAAAAAAUUUAUGUCAAAAAGUUUGUCGUUUACAACUUUCAAGGAGAAUAAAUUAUUUACUUUCCUAUAUUACCCAUACCUUCUCUCAUUAUCCCAAAAAAUUAUCUCUCUUGUAUUAAUAGUUUUCAACUUUCUAUAAAAAGGUAGUGAUGAAAUUUUAAACAAAUUUUACUUAGUAAAUGAUACUUUCUUAAUUUAUGUGUCAAAAUCUUAAACGAUAAUCUUUUAGUAACUGAGUUAAGUUAGCAGUUUAGAUGACUAAAUUAUUGAAAGCAUAAAAAAUUAAAUUUGUGCUUAGUCAUCCUACUUUAAAUUGAAGAGUAAAAUUUGGUGGAAAUGUUGUCUCAUAAGUAAGUGCUAUGGUGGUGUGCUAUUGUGAUUUUAAUUACUUGCUGCCAUCAUAUAGGGGAGGAAGCAUUUCUGGGCCAUAUGAAUGAAUUAAGUAUGUUGAUAUGCACAGGUUUUUGUUAUUAGGUGUUGAUCUUUCUUGGCAAGGAAGGAUAAAAAAUGGCUUUGUCACUCUAAUUUAAUUUGCCAUCCAUUUUUAAAAUCAAUUAGAUAUUUAAAGUGAUAUUUUUUAUUCGAUUUGAUCCCAACCUGACUCAUUUUAACUAAAUUCAACCCAAUUUAACCCGACCCCAAUUUAACCAAUUUUUUUUAUUAAAAAAACUAAAAAAAUUAUUUUCAAAAUAAUUAUUAUUUUAGAAUAUUAAAAAUAAUUAUUAUUUUAAACAUUUUAAAAAAUAAUGAUUAUUUUCAGGAAAAAAAAUAUUAGAAACUUUUAUUUUUUUUUAUAAAAUGAGUAAAGUUUUAUAAAAUAUAGAUUCAAAAAAUUAAAUAGGAAAAUAAAACUUUAUUUUCAAAUUAUUUUUUUAUUUUUUAUGUAAAAAUUUAUUUUCAGGAAAAAAGAUUUAUGGUUUUAUCAUUAUUAUAUGUAUUCUUAAUAUUAGAAUUUUAAAAAACAAAAACUAAAAAUAGUAAUUAAAAUACAAAAAAUAUUCAAAGAUAAAUAAAAAAAUUGAUUCAAUUUUUUUUUUAAAAAGGAAUUAAAAAGUUUUAAAAAUAAUUAUUAUUUACAAGAUUUUUUUUAUAAAAAAAAUGAGUAAAGUUUUAUAAAAUAUAGAUUCAAAAAAAUAAAACUUUAUUUCCAGAAAAAAUAGAUUUUAUUUUUCAAAUGAGUAAUAUUUCAUAAAAUAUAGAUUCAAAUAAAGAAAAUAAUUUUUUUUUUGUUUUCAUAAAACAAAACCAGAAUUUUUUUACUUUUAAAAAAUGUGUAAAUUUUCAUAAAAAUAAUAAAGAAUUAAAAAAUUAAACUUUAAUUAUUUUGAAUCUAUAUUUUAUGAAAAUUUACUCAUUUAAAAAAAAUUAAAGUUCCUAAUAUUUUUUCUUGAAAAUAAUAAUUAUAGUUAGAACUUUUUAAAAAUAAUAUGUAAUUUUAAAAUAAAAAAAUUUAUUAUUAUUUUAAUACAUAAAAAAUAAUUACUGUUUUAAAAAUUAUAUUUUAUUUAGAAUAUUAAAAAUAAUAUUUUAUUUUAAAAUAGUUAAAAUAAUUAUAUUUUAAAAAUUAUUUUGAAAAUAAUUUUUAUUUUAAAAUAAUAGAAAAAAUUUAUUUUUAAAACAAUUAUUAUUUUAAAAAAAUUUCUCUUUUUUUAAAAAAUAAUUGUUAAAAUUAGGGUCAGGUCAAACUGGGUCGGGUUAGGUCAAAUUUUGGUCAUUUAACUGAUAAAAAAUAAAGAAGUGUGGAAGAAUUUUUAAAUCUUAAAAUAUUUGAUUCAACUCACUUGUUUAAAAUGACUCACAUACAAAACUAUUUAUAGGGCUACUAGGACACUGUUAUAACCACUUUAAUAAUUAUUAUAUGACCAAAUACAUGUACAUGAAUCACUCACCCAUGCAUAUAUGUACUAAUAUAAAUACUAAUUAAGAUAACUCAUAAACUUCUAGAAGACAUUUAGUAAAUUAGAAGAUUAUUAGUAACGGAUGAUAUGCGUUUUUAACUAGGUUUAAGAUUUAUUAACCUUAUUAACCUCUAGUUAAUAAAUCCUAAAAACUCUGAUUAAUAAACCCUAAAUCCUAAUUAAUAAACCCUAAAUUCUAGGUAAUAAAUCCUAAACUCUAGUUAGUAAACCUUAAACCCUUGUUAAUAAGCCUAAUUAACCCUUGAUAAUAAAGUCAAAUCUUAUUAAUUAGCGUCCGCUACUAUUAAUAACGGAUGAUAUAUGUUUUUGUACAAUGUUCGCUACUAUAGCGGUAAAAAAACGCAUAUCAUUCGCUACUAAUAGUCUUCUAAAUUACUAAAUAAAUAUCUUCUAGAAGUUCAUGAGUUAUCUUAAUUAGUAUUUAUAUUAGUAUAUGCAUGCAUGAGUGAGUGUCCAAAUACAUGAAUGUAUCUAGAAGAGUAUUGGAAUAUAUUUGACUAGAUUCAUAUAUAUGUAUUUGAUUAUAUAUAUAAUAAUUAUUAAGUUGGCUAUAAAAGUGUCCUAGAGAUCUAUUAAUAGCGGACGCUAAUCAAAAUAAGAGUUGUCUUUAUUAAUUAGGAUUUAGAAUUUAUUAACUAAAUUUAGAGUUUAUUGGAGAAAGCUCUAGAAACUCAACAGGAAGAGCUGACUGCCAGUGAUCCAAAUAAAUUCAUUGAAUCCGGAUCCUAAUCCUAGUUAUAAAUUGUUGACUUUUCUUUUACAUUAGAAAUUCCUUUCUUUUGGGAUGAUACUCCAAAAUACACUUAUUUAUGAUAUAUUACAAAGAAAUUAAUUUAAACAUUCAAGGGAUUCUUUCCAUUGCAAUAUAUAUAAAAACUUAUAUCAGCUAGCUUCCUUACAUAGGGAUAGGCUGAACAAGCAAAGAAUAAAAUCUAUCCUUUGUCACACCAUCUUCAACACCAAACCCAUCUCCACAAUUAUAAAAGCAUUGGGCUGUUUUACUAAGAUUUAUCAUUGUCUCAAUAUAAGAUCUAGACAAAGGAAUAUCUGAAUCUUGGCUUAAUUUAUUCACUUCUUUCCAUUUUUUCCUCAUCAAAUCCUUCAUGUGUUCACGCGCAACUUCUUCGCUAGCACCGGUAUCAGACAUAUAGCACUGGAUUGAUUUUGAAACAUCUCCUCUCUCUAACUCAUCCUGCAUGCAUCCAUCCAAAUAAUUGUUACGUACAAACCUCGUCAAAAAUAUCAACAAUAUUUCAUAAUUGAAAAUAUUUCAUACCGAGGAUGUUCUGUAAUCAUCAGCUAGCCUAAAAAUUAGUGAUGACAAGUGUAAUAUAUCUGGCUUGCUCUCCAAAAACUUUAUUGCUUCCACUUUGAUUGGAUUUGUGGUGAAAAUAUAAGAUAGAAGCGUCAUAAGAGGGCCUGAUAUCGACACCCAGGCAUUGCUCAAGUACUCCUCCAAUGUUGGCUUGUGUCCACUAGCAUACCACCGCGCCUCUACUACGUAAGCUUCGAGUAAAUUAAGCCACUACAACAUAAUAUUAAGAAAAAAACAUUUGUAAAUGAAGAUCAUGAAGAAAUGAAAAAAAGAAGUAGUUUUUAUUCAACCAAAAGCAAUGAAAUUAAUUAGUAAAAGGUACUGGAAGAAUAUAUAGUACUGCUUUUUUGAGGUGUGGUAAAACAUUGAUGUUCUGUUCUUUAAGAAUGUCGUAAACUAUUUCAUUCACAAAGUUGUAAAGCACAAGGAAGCAUAUCUUCAUGUACUCUGGAAGUUGGUUUAUUUCAUUAAUAUCCCACCUGAUCAAAUGACAAAAAUUAUGUACCUUAAUUAAUGUUAAAAUUAUGUUCAUAGGGAAUGCAAAUUCAUCAAGUAGUAUAAUUAAAAGAAAACCUCUCAACGGCAUCAGUGAAGAGCUCAAUUUCAUCUAAUGUACCAUACACGUCAUAAAUUUCAUCUAUUACGGUAAUAAACUGUAUUGCUUUAGAUACCAUUACUCUGCAAUAUUCAAAUCGAGGCUCAAAAGUAAUUCCCAUUGCCCAUAAGAAUGAUGACACCAACCUAUCCCUAGCAAAGCUAAAUUUCUCUACCUUCCCUGUUUUGUUCCACCACCUACAAACCAAUCCAAAGCGAGUGAUUAAAAAUAAAAUAAAAGAGAGAGGCCAAUUGUAAGAAUGAAUUAGUAACUCCAGCGGUUCCACAAACAUAUAUAUAUAUAUAUAUAUAUAUAUAUAUAUAUAUAUAUAUAUAUAUAUCUCCGUAAUAUUAGUUAGGAAUGUACUGAUGGUGACAUUUUACAAACUUCAUGUCAUUUUAUAAUAUUCUAAAAUAAAAAUGUAUCUCUAAUUUUGGAACAAAUAAAAAUAUGAAUCUCUAAUUUAAAAAGAAGAUAUCUACGACGUAUAUACAUACCCUGACAAAAUUUUGAGUUCUUCUUGGUUGAAUCCUUGCACAAGGUUGAAGUUCAAUUUAGCGAGUUGUAGUAAUACAGGGAUCAUGUCAUUGCUUCUUUCAUACACAUCGAUGUACCACCUUGCUUCUAACCAUGACAUCCUCCAACGCAAUGGAAGCUCCAUGGCAUGUUUCACAUGCAUAGCAAGAUUCGGAUCAACUAUAUUUCCAUGGAGCUCUUUAAGGUUUAUAUUUGUGAAGCACCAUCCCUCCUCCAUUAGACACUCUCCUUCAAAAGAGUAGUAGGAAGCUUCAUACAAACUCAACAUUCCCUUCACAUCUUCG
rnacentral:lncRNA from 1 species